UAAUACGGAGGAUCCAAGCGUUAUCCGGAUUUAUUGGGUUUAAAGGGUGCGUAGGCGGCCUAUUAAGUCAGGGGUGAAAGACGGUGGCUCAACCAUCGCAGUGCCCUUGAUACUGAUGGGCUUGAUUACACUUGAGGUAGGCGGAAUGUGACAAGUAGCGGUGAAAUGCAUAGAUAUGUCACAGAACACCAAUUGCGAAGGCAGCUUACUAAGGUGUUAAUGACGCUGAGGCACGAAAGCGUGGGGAUCAAACAGGAUUAGAUACCCUGGUAGUCCACGCCCUAAACGAUGAAUACUCGAUGUUAGCGAUAUACAGUUAGCGUCAAAGCGAAAGCGUUAAGUAUUCCACCUGGGGAGUACGCCCGCAAGGGUG
rnacentral:rRNA from 1 species